AACGUAGGAGACAAACGUUAUCCGGAGUUACUGGGCGUAAAGGGCGUGUAGGUGGUAUCGUAAGUCUGGCGUGAAAUUUCUCGGCUUAACCGAGGCAGGUCGUCGGAUACUGCGAGGCUAGAGGACGGUAGAGGCGUGUGGAAUUCCGGGUGUAGUGGUGAAAUGCGUAGAGAUCCGGAGGAACACCAGUGGCGAAAGCAGCUUUCUGGGACGGUACUGACGCUGAGACGCGAAAGCGUGGGGAGCGAACAGG
rnacentral:rRNA from 1 species